rnacentral:rRNA from 1 species
AUUGAACGCUGGCGGCAGGCCUAACACAUGCAAGUCGAACGAGUGGCGGACGGGUGAGUAAUGUCUGGGAAACUGCCUGAUGGAGGGGGAUAAGUACUGGAAACGGUUGCUAAUAACGCAUACCAUCAGAUGGGCCCAGGUGGGAUUAGCUUGUUGGUGGGGUAACGGCUCACCAAGGCGACGAUCCCUAGCUGGUCUGAGAGGAUGACCAGCCACACGGGAACUGAGACACGGUCCAGACUCCUACGGGAGGCAGCAGUGGGGAAUAUUGGACAAUGGGCGAAAGCCUGAUCCAGCCAUGCCGCGUGUAUGAAGAAGGCCUUCGGGUUGUAAAGCACUUUCAGUUGGGAGGCGUUACCCGCAGAAGAAGCACCGGCUAACUCCGUGCCAGCAGCCGCGGUAAUAC